GACGAAGGGGGCUAGCGUUGUUCGGAAUUACUGGGCGUAAAGCGAGUGUAGGCGGUUGCCCAAGUCAGGUGUGAAAGCCUUGAGCUCAACUCAAGAAAUGCACUUGGUACUGGGUGGCUAGAGGACCGGAGAGGUGAGUGGAAUUCCCAGUGUAGCGGUGAAAUGCGUAGAUAUUGGGAGGAACACCAGUGGCGAAGGCGGCUCACUGGACCGGAACUGACGCUGAGGCGCGGAAGCGUGGGGAGCAAACAGG
rnacentral:rRNA from 1 species